rnacentral:rRNA from 1 species
CCUACGGGAGGCAGCAGUGAGGAAUAUUGGUCAAUGGACGAGAGUCUGAACCAGCCAAGUAGCGUGAAGGAUGACUGCCCUAUGGGUUGUAAACUUCUUUUAUAUGGGAAUAAAAUGUUCCACGUGUGGGAUUUUGUAUGUACCAUAUGAAUAAGGAUCGGCUAACUCCGUGCCAGCAGCAGCGGUAAUACGGAGGAUCCGAGCGUUAUCCGGAUUUAGUGGGUUUAAAGGGAGCGUAGGUGGAUUGUUAAGUCAGUUGUGAAAGUUUGCGGCUCAACCGUAAAAUUGCAGUUGAAACUGGCAGUCUUGAGUACAGUAGAGGUGGGCGGAAUUCGUGGUGUAGCGGUGAAAUGCUUAGAUAUCACGAAGAACUCCGAUUGCGAAGGCAGCUCACUGGACUGCAACUGACACUGAGGCUCGAAAGUGUGGGUAUCAAACAGGAUUAGAUACCCCAGUAGUC